AUCGGGGUGACCAGGGUGUCCUGGAUGGCUCAUGCCAGGUAGGCAUGGGCAGGACUGAGAAGUCUUGAUAACAUGACCCUCAGCCCUCUCCAUCCCCCAAGGUGGCAGCUUCUUGUACACUUGGGAGUGGCCCCACCUAGUGGGUCUCGGGUGGAGGAAGGCCUGGAGCCUGGCAGUGGGUGUUGGCUCCCACCCCUCCUCUGCCCUCCUGAAGCAGCCCCAGUCCAGGGGCACCACUCUAGAAGGCCCCCCCUUCCCGGGCCGGCCCUCCUCCCCUUGUCCAUCACCACCUUGUUAACAUUCCUGCAAUCCACAGGGUUCCCAUCCCCCAACCAGGCAGCUGCUGCCUGGGGCAGCCUCGCCCUCCAUCUUCUGGACCUCAAUCAGAACCUUCUCUGGCCCCUGCCAGCCUCUUCCUCCAAGCUCAUCUGCACCCCGGGGUCAACAUUAGCAUAUAAAACACUCCCCAUGCUCAAGCACCUUCAAUGGCUCCCUGCUGCUCCGAGACAAUGGUGCAAACAAACACUGGUCCAAUUAGCCAGCUCUCUACAACCCAGCCCUGUCUCCUCCUCCUCCUCCACCCUCACGCCUCCUAUCCCCCCCAACAGGGCUCCUACACAGCCCUUCGGGACACCCAUUCGUGCUCAAAGAUGUCUGAAGUGCCCUUUUCACCCCCCUCCACCCCUUACCCUCUGACAGCUGAGCUAACUCCUAUUCACCCUGCAGAAGUCCCCUGAGGCUCGCCCCUCCAGAGAGCUUCCCCGCAGUGCCCCCAGCCUGGGGUCUGUGCCCCUCCUGGCUCCCCUCGCACCCUCUGAGGACUGAAAAUGCCUCACUCAGUCUCACGCAGCCUCUGAGGCCGGACCGUCUGAUCCCUAGGCCCAGCGCCCGGCAAUGAGAAACUGCUGAAGGCGCUCCCUGCUGCCUGACAGAGGCCAGGGUUCCAGCCAGCUCUGUCCAGGCUGCCCCCGCAGGCUGCAGUGGCCAAAGGUGGCCGGCAGGGGGCUCUCCAGAGCUGGGCAGAUGCCGCGUUCAUGUAGCAAGAGCCUCCUAGUUCAGGUUUUCAUUCUUUACUCUUCUUUUUUUGAGACAGAGCCUGGCUCUGUUGCCUUGGCUGGACUGCAAUGGCGGGAUCUCAGCUCACUGCAACCUCCAACUCCCAGGUUCAAGUGAUUUUCCCACCUCAGCCUCUGGAGUAGCUGGGAUUACAGGCACCUGCUACCACACCUGCCUAAUUUUUGUAUUUUUAGUAGAGAUGGGGUUUCACCAUGUUGACCAGGCUGAUCUCGAACUCCUGACCUCAGGUGAUCCUCCCACCUCCGCCUCCCAAAGUGCUGGGAUUACAGACAUGAGCCACUGUGCCUGGCCACAUUCUUAAUCAUUUUUAAAAGUCAAAAUGAGUUUCAAAUGCUCCGGGCGGCCCCCAGAGGCUGGGCAAAGAGGCAGAUAUGGUCCUUGGACUGGACCCAGCUGGAGAGAGCAGGUAAGGGGGGAAAAAGGGGGCACCUCCAAAAGCUUCCAUUCACCCUCAAGGCCCAGCUCAAACGUCCCCCUGCGCCUCCAAAGCCCUCCCUUCCUAGGCUCUGGGUGGGCUCACCCUCUCUGGGGCCCACCACCGUCUGUGCUGCAAGCUGAGCCUGUCCCAGGGCGAGUGGCCCUCUCUGCAUCACUCUCCACCACGCACAGUCCAUCCCCGAAGGCGGGGCCCAGUCACUUGCCCGUGUGUGAGGCUGGAGCCUGCAGACCUGAGCUGUCCACAGACCGUCGCCUGCCAUGUGCCAAGUGCGCUCGGGCCAAGCUCCAGGAGUCCACACUACAGGCCCGUGACCAACAGAGACGGGGAAUUGGGCCACACUGGGGACCCGGGGGUUGCUGUCACCAAGCCACCUCCUGUCCCAUUCUGAACAGGCAGCUGUCCACAGAGAGACCUCUGCCCCCCAGGCACCAAGACCAGCCAGGCCUGUCUCCACCCGACCCCCACCAGGGCCCCCGUGAUGCACAGCCACGCCCAGUGUCUCAGGAUGAGUGAGGCGCAGCCAUCGCCUUGGGCCAGGGUCACCCUCUCUGCUCUCUGCAGAGCUGGCUGUGGCGGGGCCAAGUGAGGCGGUUCUGGGGAUCGGGGGCCAGGCUAGGACCUGUCCCUGGGGAAGGAGGGAAUGUGGAUUUCCUACACCCAAGAACUUCCAGGGCCUUCCCACGACUCCAGCCCAGCUGUGACCUCCAGACUGAAUGUGACGACACCCACAGACUUAUUGGGAUUCAGAUUCUGGAUAUUUCUCCGUCCCAGUGGCCCCAGUUGUCGGCCAAAUGGUGGCCCACAAAAUGUGUUCACAUACCAGGGCCUGUGAACAGGAGCCUCUGCGGAUGGAAUUGAUGGUCUCGGGAUGGGGUCACCCUGGGUCAUCCAGGUGGGCCCUAAGUCCACAGACUGCAAGAGACUGAAGAGGAGGCUCACGCAGGAGCCAGCAGGCGCAGGGACUGGAGUGGCACAGCCACGAGCCGAGGCCGCCGGGGCCACCAGCGGCUGGAAGGGGCAGGAAGGACCUUCCCAUGGGUCCUCCCCAAGAGCUUUUGGAAAAAGCCAACCCUGAGGACCCCUUGAUUUGGGGUUUCUGGCCUCCAGGCUGCAGAAGGAACCCGUUCUGGACACUUGGCCCUCUCUUGGGGGUCAUCUGCUACAGAAGCCCCAGGAAGCUGAUGCCGCUGCCCCU
rnacentral:lncRNA from 1 species